CAAGGAAGAUGUACAUGGGAACACGGGAACACCUCACCUGGCCUGGACACGGACAGGACUGACAGCUCUUUCUCGAUUCCAUGGGUGGUGGUGCAUGGCUGUUCUUAGUUGGUGGAGCGAUUUGUCUGGUUAAUUCCAAUAACGAACAAGACUCUGGCAUGCUAACUAACUGCGCGACCCCAGAGCACGUAACUACUUCUUGGGUAGUGUCCAACUUCUUAAGAGGGACAAGUGGCGUUCAGCCACCUGAGAUUGAGCAAUAACAGGUCUGUGAUGCCCUUAGAUGUCCGGGGCUGCACACGCGCUACACUGACUGGCUCAGCUUGUGUCUACCCUACGCCGGCAGGCGCGGGUAACCCGUUGAACCCCAUUUGUGAUGGGGAUUGGGGAUUGCAGUUAUUACCCAUGAACGAGGAAUUCCCACGAGUAAGUGCAGGUCAUAAGCUCGCAUUGAUUAAG
rnacentral:ncRNA from 1 species